rnacentral:rRNA from 1 species
UACAGAGGUCUCAAGCGUUGUUCGGAUUCAUUGGGCGUAAAGGGUGCGUAGGUGGCGCUGUAAGUCGGGUGUGAAAUUUCGGAGCUUAACUCCGAACUGCGUUCGAUACUGCGGUGCUUGAGGACUGGAGAGGAGACUGGAAUUCAUGGUGUAGCAGUGAAAUGCGUAGAGAUCAUGAGGAAGACCAGUGGCGAAGGCGGGUCUCUGGACAGUUCCUGACACUGAGGCACGAAGGCCAGGGGAGCAAACGGG